AACCCUAGUGUCCUUAUUCCUAAAGUAAGAAUACCAGUCAUGGAUUGCUGCCAGGAAUAAUGAAGAUUGCUAUGUGAAGCUCUUAGCAAUCUAAUUGAUGUACACUGCUUAUGAUAGAUAUAGAAACUUACCUGCUUAUUGAAGAAGGAGAAGAAGAAGAAAAGAAACUUAACUCUUUGUCUUGAACACCAAAAUCAGUUUUACUGAAGCUGAGAAAUCCCACAACCUGCUGUCUGCAAACUGGAGGCCCAAGGAAGUCAGCAAUACACUGUGAAAUCCUGGGACCCAGAGAGCCAACAGUACAGACAGCAGUACAAAUAUGAAGGCUGACAACCAGGCACAGCAAGGCCAGGAUUGAUGUCCCAGCUCACUUCAUCAAGAAGAGACUGAACUCAAGCUUCCCCCACCUUUUUGUUUGGUUUGGGCCUCAACACCUUAGGUGAUGCUCACUCACAUGGAAAAGGCUAUCUGCUUUGUUUAGUUCAAUUCAAAUGUUUAUCUCUUUGAACAUACUCUUCCAGACCCACCCAAGAAGAACUUAACCAUCUGAGCAUCCUGUGGCCCAGGCAAGCUGACAAUAAAGUGAAUGAGCACAUCUGGUUUCCUGCUCCAACGUCCUCUCAUGAUUGCCCGCUGCUGCACCCAUUCCUGAACUUUCCUCCUCAGAUAAACAAGUUUUCUUUUGCCUCAAGACAUUAUAUAUGCCUCUGCCAGAAAUUCUGUUUCCUCCAGACUACACACAGCUAGCUAUUACUGUUUCAGCCAAAGCCUGAAGAGAGAUGACGGGAACUCAUACCUGCCAGUUUCACUCUGCUUCUCCGUCCACCCUCCAUUCUUCCUUUUAACAAUUUCUUGGAUCUGAGUCCGCCAAAAGAAUAAGUCAUGACGGAAGCCAAGGUACCAAGUAGGAAAUUGAAGUGACAGAGAGUAAGUCAUGCCCAGGAUCACACGGCUGGAUAGUGGUGAAACUGAGGCUGAGUCACGGGUUUCCUGAUUCCAAACCUACACAUCUCCUAAAGUGGUGAUGAAGAAAACAGUAGCUCCUGAAAUCCAGAAACUGGUCUGACACUUAGAGCUCAGUCUCAGUGUGCGCACAAACUGGACUGACCUCAGCAGGGAGACCGUGGGCAAAUAAACAAUCUCAUGGAGCAUCCACUUGUCUAAGCACAGACCACAAUCUGGUCACUGUAAACAACUCACAAAAUAUCAAGCAUACCCCUCUUCUGGCUAACAUUUCUGCUGCCUUUUUCUUUUAACCAAUUAUAGCUUUAUCCCUCUCCUCUCUAUCGGUAAGAUUUAUUGCUAUCCUCAGUCAUGGCCUUGCCCUCACUUCCUGACAGCACUCAUCUAGAGGGAUUCUCUGCCCCCUUAGGCCCUCUUUGAAAUCUCCCAAAUCCUUCAAUAAGUCUUUCUUUACUUCCUUUUACUGAAGUGCACCACUGUUCCUAUGGCAUGUGGCUCCCCUUGAUGCAAUGAAUGAG